AGGUUUGAUUAUGGCUCAGAACGAACGCUGGCGGCGUGCCUAACACAUGCAAGUCGAGCGCAAAGUCCCUUCGGGGGCGAGUAGAGCGGCGGACGGGUGAGUAAUACAUGGAUAAUCUACCUCGAGACCGGGAUAACCUUGCGAAAGCGGGGCUAAUACCGGAUAAGACCACGUAACACAGUUACGUGGUAAAAGGUGGCUUAAUUUAACAGGUUAAGCUAUCACUUGAGGAUGAGUCAUGGCCUAUCAGCUAGUUGGUAGGGUAAUGGCCUACCAAGGCUAUGACGGGUAGCUGGUUGARAGGACGGCCAGCCACACUGGGACUGAGACACGGCCCAGACUCCUACGGGAGGCAGAGUGGGGAAUAUUGGGCAAUGGGCGAAAGCCUGACCCAKCGACGCCGCGUGGGUGAUGAGGCCUUCGGGUCGUAAACCCCUUUCGUGCGGAAAGAACAGUCCUGUGGCGAAUAACCGCGGAUCUGACGGUACCGCARGAAGAAGCACCGGCUAACUCCGUGCCAGCAGCCGCGGUAAACGGAGGGUGCAAGCGUUGUUCGGAAUUACUGGGCGUAAAGGGCGCGUAGGUGGUUAUGAAG
rnacentral:rRNA from 1 species